GGACCCGCACAAGUGGUGGAGCGUGUUCUUUAAUUCGAUGAUAAGCGAAGAACCUUACCAGGGCUUGACAUCCUUGGAAUCUCUGCGAAAGCAGAGAGUGCCUUUUGGAACCAAGUGACAGGUGUUGCAUGGCCGUCGUCAGCUCGUGUCGUGAGAUGUUUGGUUAAGUCCAUUAACGAGCGCAACCCUUAUGAUUAGUUGGAUUUUUCUAAUCAGACUGCCUCGGUAACGGGGAGGAAGGAGGGGAUGAUGUCAGGUCAUUAUUACCCUUACGUCCUGGGCUAGAAACGCGCUACAAUGGCCGGUACAGAGGGCUGCCAACCCGCGAGGGGGAGCAAAUCCCAUCAAAACCGGUCCCAGUUCGGAUUGCAGGCUGAAACUCGCCUGCAUGAAGCCGGAAUCACUAGUAAUCGUGGGUCAGCACACCACGGUGAAUACGUUCCCGGGUCUU
rnacentral:rRNA from 1 species